rnacentral:rRNA from 1 species
GAUGAACGCUAGCGGCAGGCUUAAUACAUGCAAGUCGUGGGGCAGCAGGUUUGUAGCAAUACAGAUGCUGGCGACCGGCAAACGGGUGCGGAACACGUACAGAACCUUCCUUUGAGCGGGGAAUAGCCCAGAGAAAUUUGGAUUAAUACCCCAUAGUAUAAUGAAGUGGCAUCACUUUAUUAUUAAAGAUUUAUCACUCGAAGAUGGCUGUGCGGCUGAUUAGGUAGUUGGCGGGGUAAAGGCCCACCAAGCCUGCGAUCAGUAACUGGUGUGAGAGCACGACCAGUCACACGGGCACUGAGACACGGGCCCGACUCCUACGGGAGGCAGCAGUAAGGAAUAUUGGUCAAUGGAGGCAACUCUGAACCAGCCAUGCCGCGUGGAGGAUGAAGGUCCUCUGGAUUGUAAACCUCUUUUAUAUGGGACGAAAAAGGCUUUUCUAAGUCGUCUGACGGUACCAUAUGAAUAAGCACCGGCUAACUCCGUGCCAGCAGCCGCGGUAA